rnacentral:rRNA from 1 species
UGAACGCUGGCGGCGUGCCUAAUACAUGCAAGUCGAGCGAACAGAUGAGGAGCUUGCUCCUCUGACGUUAGCGGCGGACGGGUGAGUAACACGUGGAUAACCUACCUAUAAGACUGGGAUAACUUCGGGAAACCGGAGCUAAUACCGGAUAAUAUAUUGAACCGCAUGGUUCAAUAGUGAAAGACGGUUUUGCUGUCACUUAUAGAUGGAUCCGCGCCGCAUUAGCUAGUUGGUAAGGUAACGGAUUACCAAGGCAACGAUGCGUAGCCGACCUGAGAGGGUGAUCGGCCACACUGGAACUGAGACACGGUCCAGACUCCUACGGGAGGCAGCAGUAGGGAAUCUUCCGCAAUGGGCGAAAGCCUGACGGAGCAACGCCGCGUGAGUGAUGAAGGUCUUCGGAUCGUAAAACUCUGUUAUUAGGGAAGAACAAAUGUGUAAGUAACUAUGCACGUCUUGACGGUACCUAAUCAGAAAGCCACGGCUAACUACGUG